rnacentral:rRNA from 1 species
GACGAACGCUGGCGGCGUGCUUAACACAUGCAAGUCGAACGGAAAGGCCCUGCUUUUGUGGGGUGCUCGAGUGGCGAACGGGUGAGUAACACGUGAGUAACCUGCCCUUGACUUUGGGAUAACUUCAGGAAACUGGGGCUAAUACCGGAUAGGAGCUCCUGCUGCAUGGUGGGGGUUGGAAAUUUUCGGCGGUUGGGGAUGGACUCGCGGCUUAUUAGCUUGUUGGUGGGGUAGUGGCUUACCAAGGCUUUGACGGGUAGCCGGCCUGAGAGGGUGACCGGCCACAUUGGGACUGAGAUACGGCCCAGACUCCUACGGGAGGCAGCAGUGGGGAAUAUUGCACAAUGGGCGGAAGCCUGAUGCAGCAACGCCGCGUGCGGGAUGACGGCCUUCGGGUUGUAAACCGCUUUCGCCUGUGACGAAGCGUGAGUGACGGUAAUGGGUAAAGAAGCACCGGCUAACUACGUG